rnacentral:lncRNA from 1 species
GGAGAGGCAAGCAGCGUUUCUUCUCCCCCCUUUAGCCUCCCCGUCUCCCUGCUCCCUGUCACUCCAUCCUUCCUCCCCUCUCCUGGACCACCCUCCAGCCCUGCUUCAAGCCAGACCGAGACCCCCCUUACCACCCAGACCACCCCGGGACCCUUUGACUCUCCUCACUUCUCCGUCCCGCCAACCUAAACAACUGAGCAGGAUUCCAUCUCCUCUCCUCCCCUGGAGUGCUGUCUGUCUGUCAACAACUCCACUGCACAAUAUCUGCUGA